UACGAAGGGGGCUAGCGUUGCUCGGAAUCACUGGGCGUAAAGCGCACGUAGGCGGAUUGUUAAGUCAGGGGUGAAAUCCUGGAGCUCAACUCCAGAACUGCCUUUGAUACUGGCGAUCUUGAGUCCGGGAGAGGUGAGUGGAACUCCGGGUGUAGAGGUGAAAUUCGUAGAUAUUCGGAAGAACACCAGUGGCGAAGGCGGCUGCCUGGGCCUGGCCUGACGCUGAGGCGCGAAAGCGUGGGGAGCGAUCCGG
rnacentral:rRNA from 1 species